UACGUAGGGUGCGAGCGUUGUCCGGAAUUACUGGGCGUAAAGAGCUCGUAGGUGGUUUGUCGCGUUGUUCGUGAAAACUCACAGCUUAACUGUGGGCGUGCGGGCGAUACGGGCAGACUGGAGUACUGCAGGGGAGACUGGAAUUCCUGGUGUAGCGGUGGAAUGCGCAGAUAUCAGGAGGAACACCGGUGGCGAAGGCGGGGUCUCUGGGCAGUAACUGACGCUGAGGAGCGAAAGCGUGGGGAGCGAACAGG
rnacentral:rRNA from 1 species